rnacentral:rRNA from 1 species
GAUGAACGCUGGCGGCGUGCCUAAUACAUGCGAGUCGAGCGAACGGACGAGAAGCUUGCUUCUCUGAUGUUAGCGGCGGACGGGUGAGUAACACGUGGAUAACCUACCUAUAAGACUGGGAUAACUUCGGGAAACCGUAGCUAAUACCGGAUAAUAUUUUGAGCCGCAUGGUUCAAAAGUGAAAGACGGUCUUGCUGUCACUUAUAGAUGGAUCCGCGCUGCAUUAGCUAGUUGGUAAGGUAACGGCUUACCAAGGCAACGAUGCAUAGCCGACCUGAGAGGGUGAUCGGCCACACUGGAACUGAGACACGGUCCAGACUCCUACGGGAGGCAGCAGUAGGGAAUCUUCCGCAAUGGGCGAAAGCCUGACGGAGCAACGCCGCGUGAGUGAUGAAGGUCUUCGGAUCGUAAAACUCUGUUAUUAGGGAAGAACAUAUGUGUAAGUAACUGUGCACAUCUUGACGGUACCUAAUCAGAAAGCCACGGCUAACUACGUG